rnacentral:rRNA from 1 species
GAUGAACGCUGGCGGCGUGCCUAAUACAUGCAAGUCGAGCGAACAGACGGGGAGCUUGCUCCUCUGACGUUAGCGGCGGACGGGUGAGUAACACGUGGAUAACCUACCUGUAAGACUGGGAUAACUUCGGGAAACCGGAGCUAAUACCGGAUAAUAUAUUGAACCGCAUGGUUCAAUAGUGAAAGACGGUUUUGCUGUCACUUAUAGCUGGAUCCGCGCCGCAUUAGCUAGUUGGUAAGGUAACGGCUUACCAAGGAGACGAUGCGUAGCCGACCUGAGAGGGUGAUCGGCCACACUGGAACUGAGACACGGUCCAGACUCCUACGGGAGGCAGCAGUAGGGAAUCUUCCGCAAUGGGCGAAAGCCUGACGGAGCAACGCCGCGUGAGUGAUGAAGGUCUUCGGAUCGUAAAACUCUGUUAUUAGGGAAGAACAAAUGUGUAAGUAACUAUGCACGUCUUGACGGUACCUAAUCAGAAAGCCACGGCUAACUACGUG